CUUCACCAAGAUCUCUCUACAUCAUCAUCAUCACCCAUCUCUCUCCGUCACUCUCUCCAUCACUCACUGGUCUUCUUCAAUUCUCUCGAUCUCUGGAGACCUAAUCCCGAGCUGAUAAUACGAUUCUCUACAUGGCCACUGUACUUGAGUCCCUGACCGUUCCUUCUCGCUCUUCUGCUGUCUUGCCUAAACCUACUACGACGCUUGUCACUGCUUUUGCUUCAACAAUUAAUCGGAGAUCGCUUCGCUUCCCACAACUCAAAGGCCUUAAGAUUCACUUUCAUUCUUCAUCGACUGUAAAUCGCUCUCUCGGAUCUGUGAGUCAGAGUAGUUCUAGACUCGCUUGUGCUGGAAGGAUCGUUUGUGAAGCGCAGGACAUUGCUGUUAAAGUGCCCGCUGUUACUGAUGCAACAUGGAAGUCACUCGUGCUGGAAUCGGAAUCCCCUGUUCUGGUUGAAUUCUGGGCUCCAUGGUGUGGUCCGUGCCGGAUGAUUCACCCUGUAAUUGAUGAACUGGCAAUUCAAUAUGCUGGAAAGCUCAAGUGCUACAAGCUUAAUACCGACGAUUGCUCUUCAAUUGCAACUGAGUAUGGGAUUCGAAGCAUUCCCACUGUUAUUAUCUUUAAAAAUGGUGAGAAGAAAGAGGCGAUUAUUGGUGCUGUUCCCCAAACUACCUUAACCACCAGUAUCGAGAAAUUCUUGUAACGCAGGUGCUGAGGAAACCAAUAUGACUGAAAUGAUUUUUAGUCAUCUCCUAUGACACUCAUACAGAGAAAUAUAUGUACAAGAUUUGCAUGAGUCGACCAAAUUUUUUGAAACCAGCCUGGUGGUAGAUACCAUUUACUGAAUCAAAAUGCUCGGCUAGAGAUCUUGGGGAGCUGGAGCCAAUGACUCAAUAGGAAAGGACUUCAGAGGAGUUCUGGUUACUGCACAAAUGACGAAUAGCAGAAUCAUGUCUCCAGGGUGCGCAAUCAUCAGAUUUUCUGGGGUCUUUUUAUACGAUCACCAUGGAAAAUCGGUGCGGUGCUGUAGUGAGGUGAACGAGAAGGGACCAUCUGAAAUGUUCAUUCUAGCAUGAGUUUAUGUAUCGACUCUGCAUGGCAAUACAAGACCUUGUUCUCUCCCUUGUCCAGUAAUGCUCAUAUAAAUGGUCUGAUAGGACGAAGAGUACUCAUUUAAGAAGGUUCUUGUCUCUGCCUUGCAAGUUUUGGACUUUUGAAUGGAUUUUUAUUUCCGUUGCCCACUGUAAAA